rnacentral:lncRNA from 1 species
GUACAUACAGCCUUAGUCUAGCUGAGGCCUCUCUGUGACCAAGCCCACGAGGACCCUGUGCCUUUCCGUGGCUGGAAACGAAGGAUGGGGCUGUUCCAUGCUGGGAGACACACCAGGAGCAGAGGUAUUGAGAGGCUGCUGAGGCACUCCCAAAGCUUCCCUUCACCAGGAAAUGAGCUCCAUUCCCUCUGCCUCUAUGCACAGCACGUGCCUUGGUGUCUCCCUGCUGUACAUGCUUUGUGCCACCAACACCUUAUGGACUCCUCUGACAAAGCAGGACAAGGGAGGACGAGCACAGAGGUAGCAAGAAUAACCUGACAUUAAAACCUGAGAAGGUGAGUGAAGAUCCUUGUGAUUUGCUCCAAGCUCUCGGAUCUCUCCCUGUGCUUCCCACUGAGGCAAUCCUGCAGCUCUUCUCCAGCUGGGGUGAAACUGGAGGGACAGGAAACAAUUUGGCUUUGUCAGAGGAGGGGCUGGGAGUGCUGGUGUCAGUCCAAGCCUGACCAGCUGUGUUUGGGAUGUGGGCACAGUGGCGUGCAAGCGGUGAAGGCUGCAGGUCUCACUGGGCUGGGAGAGUCCAGAUGUGAUUUGGACACUAGAUGGAGACAAGAGGGUUGAGGAUUGACACGGGAGCAGGAAUGCUGUUCCAGCAGCUGGUGCGAGAUCCAGCGAGGUGAGUCCUCAGCAAACUGGGGGAACUGCCCUGGAAUCGAAGCAACAGAGAACUGAACCAGUGGGAUCUUGGAGAGCUGGAGUCCUUGAAAAAGGAAGCCUCUUAAAAUAAGGAGAUAUUUUAUCUGAAAAUCAAGUUAAUAGUGGCCUGUGUGGCCAGGAUUGGCCACUGUACCCCCACUGCUGCACUCAGUGUCCAAGGAAUGUGG